GGGUGACAGCCCCGUACACAAAAAUGCACAUGCUGUGAGCUCGAUGAGUAGGGCGGGACACGUGGUAUCCUGUCUGAAUAUGGGGGGACCAUCCUCCAAGGCUAAAUACUCCUGACUGACCGAUAGUGAACCAGUACCGUGAGGGAAAGGCGAAAAGAACCCCGGCGAGGGGAGUGAAAAAGAACCUGAAACCGUGUACGUACAAGCAGUGGGAGCACGCUUAGGCGUGUGACUGCGUACCUUUUGUAUAAUGGGUCAGCGACUUAUAUUCUGUAGCAAGGUUAACCGAAUAGGGGAGCCGAAGGGAAACCGAGUCUUAACUGGGCGUUAAGUUGCAGGGUAUAGACCCGAAACCCGGUGAUCUAGCCAUGGGCAGGUUGAAGGUUGGGUAACACUAACUGGAGGACCGAACCGACUAAUGUUGAAAAAUUAGCGGAUGACUUGUGGCUGGGGGUGAAAGGCCAAUCAAACCGGGAGAUAGCUGGUUCUCCCCGAAAGCUAUUUAGGUAGCGCCUCGUGAAUUCAUCUCCGGGGGUAGAGCACUGUUUCGGCAAGGGGGUCAUCCCGACUUACCAACCCGAUGCAAACUGCGAAUACCGGAGAAUGUUAUCACGGGAGACACACGGCGGGUGCUAACGUCCGUCGUGAAGAGGGAAACAACCCAGACCGCCAGCUAAGGUCCCAAAGUCAUGGUUAAGUGGGAAACGAUGUGGGAAGGCCCAGACAGCCAGGAUGUUGGCUUAGAAGCAGCCAUCAUUUAAAGAAAGCGUAAUAGCUCACUGGUCGAGUCGGCCUGCGCGGAAGAUGUAACGGGGCUAAACCAUGCACCGAAGCUGCGGCAGCGACACUAUGUGUUGUUGGGUAGGGGAGCGUUCUGUAAGCCUGUGAAGGUGUACUGUGAGGUAUGCUGGAGGUAUCAGAAGUGCGAAUGCUGACAUAAGUAACGAUAAAGCGGGUGAAAAGCCCGCUCGCCGGAAGACCAAGGGUUCCUGUCCAACGUUAAUCGGGGCAGGGUGAGUCGACCCCUAAGGCGAGGCCGAAAGGCGUAGUCGAUGGGAAACAGGUUAAUAUUCCUGUACUUGGUGUUACUGCGAAGGGGGGACGGAGAAGGCUAUGUUGGCCGGGCGACGGUUGUCCCGGUUUAAGCGUGUAGGCUGGUUUUCCAGGCAAAUCCGGAAAAUCAAGGCUGAGGCGUGAUGACGAGGCACUACGGUGCUGAAGCAACAAAUGCCCUGCUUCCAGGAAAAGCCUCUAAGCAUCAGGUAACAUCAAAUCGUACCCCAAACCGACACAGGUGGUCAGGUAGAGAAUACCAAGGCGCUUGAGAGAACUCGGGUGAAGGAACUAGGCAAAAUGGUGCCGUAACUUCGGGAGAAGGCACGCUGAUAUGUAGGUGAAGUCCCUCGCGGAUGGAGCUGAAAUCAGUCGAAGAUACCAGCUGGCUGCAACUGUUUAUUAAAAACACAGCACUGUGCAAACACGAAAGUGGACGUAUACGGUGUGACGCCUGCCCGGUGCCGGAAGGUUAAUUGAUGGGGUCAGCGCAAGCGAAGCUCUUGAUCGAAGCCCCGGUAAACGGCGGCCGUAACUAUAACGGUCCUAAGGUAGCGAAAUUCCUUGUCGGGUAAGUUCCGACCUGCACGAAUGGCGUAAUGAUGGCCAGGCUGUCUCCACCCGAGACUCAGUGAAAUUGAACUCGCUGUGAAGAUGCAGUGUACCCGCGGCAAGACGGAAAGACCCCGUGAACCUUUACUAUAGCUUGACACUGAACAUUGAGCCUUGAUGUGUAGGAUAGGUGGGAGGCUUUGAAGUGUGGACGCCAGUCUGCAUGGAGCCGACCUUGAAAUACCACCCUUUAAUGUUUGAUGUUCUAACGUUGACCCGUAAUCCGGGUUGCGGACAGUGUCUGGUGGGUAGUUUGACUGGGGCGGUCUCCUCCUAAAGAGUAACGGAGGAGCACGAAGGUUGGCUAAUCCUGGUCGGACAUCAGGAGGUUAGUGCAAUGGCAUAAGCCAGCUUGACUGCGAGCGUGACGGCGCGAGCAGGUGCGAAAGCAGGUCAUAGUGAUCCGGUGGUUCUGAAUGGAAGGGCCAUCGCUCAACGGAUAAAAGGUA
rnacentral:rRNA from 1 species